CAAGAUGGGAGAAAAGAAAUAUGCCAACCAACGAACCAAGUGUUCGCUAUAUAAUGCACUAAAAACUACUUGUACCAUAACCUGACGGGAAUUCAUCAAAGUGGAGGAGGGGUCUGUUUCCUCGUUUUCUAAUGGACAGUUUCAGUUAUAUUUAAGCUUUCCAUUUAUCACCCAAAAGCAACAUUGAAGGGAUUUUGUCGAGACCAAAAUAAAAUAAAAAAGAAGAAGAAGGAGAAGAAGAAGAAGAGCCAAGUUACAGUAUAGAAAUUGCCCCGCUAUAAUAUGCAGAAGAAGUUAGCACCAGGAAAAGAGGGAACGAAAUGCAGGGUGACGCGCGUCACAAAUUGGCCAUUGCAGGGAAAUGUGCCGCGCGGAAGUGACGGUUAGAAAACUCCGCGCCCCAAUUUCAACAAGCAAACAGGCAAAUUUCAUCCCAAACCCUCAUUUCCGCAGGAAGUCCCGUAAUGGCGACCUCCAACACCACCCUCCUACCGCCACUUUCUCCACCGUCCUCCGACUCAGAUUCCGACUCCGGCACCAGUUCCCGCCAGCACCAACACACUGACCUCUCCUCCACCAUCUUCAAAUCCUACCUCGAACUCACCGGUCACCAAUCCUCCCCUCAACAUCAAGACCUGAUAAAGAUCCAAUCGUUCCUUACUUCCUCUCGCUCUGGGGCUCUCUCAUGCCUCAUAUGCCUUGAACGGAUCAAACCCACCGAUCCCACCUGGUCCUGCUCCUCCCGCUGCUUCGCAGUCUUCCACCUCCUCUGUAUCCAAUCCUGGGCCCACCAAUCCUCAAAUCUUGCAGCUGCACGGGCUGCCUCACGCGCCGCCACUCUUAACGAUGACACCCUCCGCUGGCAUUGCCCCAAAUGCCGGAUCGAGUAUCCCAAAUCGCAGACCCCCAAGUAUUACUAUUGUUUUUGUGGAAAACUCGAAAACCCACCUCAUGAUCCCUGGAUUUUACCUCAUUCUUGUGGAGAAAUCUGUGGUAGGCCGUUGACAUACAAUUGUGGGCACGAAUGCUUGUUGUUGUGUCACCCAGGGCCCUGCCCCUCGUGCCCGAAAUUGGUUAAAACCAAGUGUUAUUGUGGGGCUACAGAGGACGUGAGACGUUGCGGGUUUAAGGAUUUUUCUUGUAAAGGCGUUUGUAGAAAGACAUUAGCUUGUGGAAGCCAUAGGUGUGGUGAAAUUUGCCAUGAUGGUGACUGUCCGAUGUGUCGCAAAAAAGGGGUUUAUAAGUGCCAAUGCGGGAAGGUGGAGCUGGAAAGAGAGUGUUGUGAGAGGAUUUUUAGGUGUGAAAAUCCAUGCCAGAAGUUGCUUGGCUGUGGGAGGCAUGUUUGUGAGAGAGGGUGUCAUAAAGGUAAUUGUGGUGAGUGUCCACUCCAGGGGAAGAGGACUUGUCCUUGUGGAAAGAGAGUGUAUGAAGGGAUGGCUUGUGAUGUUGCUGUGCCUCUCUGUGGAGCAACUUGUGAUAAGCUGUUGAGCUGUGGAUUCCAUAGGUGCCCAGAAAGAUGUCAUCGCGGGCCUUGCAUUGAGACUUGCAGGACAGUUGUAACCAAGUCCUGCAGGUGUGGAAGCGCAAGGAAACAGAUUCCUUGUUAUCAAGAUUUAACAUGUGAAAGGAAGUGCCAGAAAGUGCGGGAUUGUGGGCGUCAUGCUUGCAAGCGUCGCUGUUGUGAUGGGGACUGCCCACCUUGUUCUGAGAUUUGUGACAGGAGGCUUCGAUGUAGGAAUCACAAAUGCCCUGCUCCGUGCCAUAGAGGUGCCUGUUCUCCUUGUCCACUGAUGGUGAUGAUUUCAUGUUCAUGUGGGGAAACACAUUUUGAGGUUCCAUGUGGCACAGAGACCGAGCAAAAGCCUCCUAAAUGUCCCAAACGAUGUCGUGUAGCUCCAUUGUGCACCCACAGGUUAAUUUGCAAGCCACACAAGUGUCAUUAUGGAGCUUGCCCUCCUUGUCGUCUGAUCUGUGAUGAAGAAUACUCAUGUGGGCACAAGUGCAAAUUAAGGUGCCAUGGCCCUAGACCUCCUGCCCUUCCAGAGUUUACAUUGAAACCAAAGAAAAAGAAGUCAAGUCAUGAGGCUGAACAUAUUCCUGGUACAUUGUGCCCUCCUUGUCCUGAACUGGUGUGGAGAUCAUGUGUUGGCAAUCACAUAGGAGCAGAGAGGAUGAUGAUCUGCUCAAAUCCAGCAGAGUUUUCAUGCGACAACUUAUGUGGCACUCUUCUUUCCUGUGGCAACCAUUACUGUACAAAGAUAUGCCAUGCCUUGAAGAGCGAUUCGAAAUCAUAUAGUUCUGUACUGGCUGAAUCAUGUGAAGAGUGUAAUCUUCCUUGCCAAAAGGAGAGAAGCCCUCCUUGUCCACAUCCUUGCCCUUUGGUGUGUCAUCCUGGAGAAUGCCCUCCGUGUCAUUCACUAAUAAAGCGUGCAUGCCACUGCGGUGCCAUGGUUCAUGCUCUUAAGUGCAUAUAUUACAAUAGUUUGGACGAAAGGGAGCAAGUGGCUGUUCGUUCAUGCGGAGGACCAUGUCAUAGAAAGCUACCAAACUGUACGCAUCUAUGUCCAGAGAUCUGUCAUCGUGGUCAAUGUCCAUCACCUGACAAGUGCUCCAAAAAGGUUAUUGUUCGGUGCGGAUGCCAGACCUUGAAGAAGGAGUGGUCGUGCAAAGACGUGCAAGAAGCCUACAGGAAUGCUGGGUCUGAUCCCAAAGAUGUGCCUAAAACUCAAUUUGGACUUGGACUUCUCCCUUGUGAUCCGGAUUGCAGGAGUAAAAUGAAGAUCACUGAUUCUGAGUUACAACUUCGUAAAUCUGUAGUGACACAGAAAAAGGAACCAGAUGGUGAGAAACCCGUAGCAAAACGAAGAAGGCGAAGGGAGCGGGUUCAGGAAGACAAGAAAGCUUCCAGACUGCAGGUUAUUAGUGGUGCUACGAGAAAGGUGCUUUUGAUUGUCAUCAUUUUGGUAACGCUGAUUGCAGUAGCAUACUGUGGAUACAAUGGCCUUUUGUGGCUGUCAGAUUGGAUGAAUGAAGCUGAACUACAACGGCAAAGAAGAAUAUACCCUCGAAUCUGAUUAGCACGUAGUAGUAAUACUACUAUCAGUUGUCAAGGAGUGUGGUUUUAGGCAUGGAAGUAAUAGAAUACGGCCCCUAGCGGAAUGUUACUUGUAAAAGAAGAUUGUUGAAAGGUUCUUGGUGGAUGUUGAACAAGUCUGGAUAACAAUAAAUAGGGGCGGCAGAAGGGGCGAUCAGGAGCAGGAACAGGAACAGGUGUGUGCAUAUCUUCCGAAUAGAGAGAGAGGCGGAGGCGCGCACACACGGCGGUGGCUGGAGUAAAAGCUCUAGCCCCGCGUGGUCUCCACAAAGUAGCCCUGUAUAACCCCAUGCCCGACCGACAUCUCUCAUCUUCAUCUUCCCCUCCCGAAUAUAUGGAGAGUUUGGCUUAGCGGGGCGUGCAUCAUUUAAUGAUUCAAUUCUAGUGGACGCACCCCACAGGAACUUACAAUCAAAGCGUGUACCACCAACACCAACUAGGCCUCAUCCUCCCAUGAUUCUCCUUAUCUUCAUCCAUUUGUCUGGGUUGCUGCUAUAAGGGAUGAACGACGAGGCUUGGACGUGCUUCUAGC